CAGCCGCCGCGGUAAUACAGAGGGUGCGAGCGUUAAUCGGAUUUACUGGGCGUAAAGCGUGCGUAGGCGGUUUGUUAGGUCUGCUGUGAAAUCCCCGGGCUCAACCUGGGAAUGGCAGUGGAUACUGGCAAGCUAGAGUGUGUCAGAGGAUGGUGGAAUUCCCGGUGUAGCGGUGAAAUGCGUAGAGAUCGGGAGGAACAUCAGUGGCGAAGGCGGCCAUCUGGGACAACACUGACGCUGAGGCACGAAAGCGUGGGGAGCAAACAGGAUUAGAUACCCCCGUAGUCCCUGUCUCUUAUAC
rnacentral:rRNA from 1 species